CCUACGGGUGGCAGCAGUGGGGAAUAUUGCACAAUGGGGGAAACCCUGAUGCAGCGACGCCGCGUGAGGGAAGAAGGAAUUCGGUAUGUAAAGCUCUAUCAGCAGGGAAGAAAAUGAAGGUACCUAAGUAACAAGCACUGGCUAACAACGGGACAGCAACCGCGGGAUAACGGAGGGUGCAAGCGUUCUCCGGAUUUACUGGGUGUAGAGGGAGCGUAGACGGCAGUGCAAGUCUGGCGUGAAAGGCGGGGGCUCAACCACCGGACUGCUCUGGACACUGUACGGCUGGAGUGCCGGAGAGGUAAGUGGAAUUCCUGGUGUAGCAGUGAAAUGCGUAGAUAUUUGGAGGAACACCAGUGGCGAAGGCGGCUUUCUGGACUGUAACUGACGUUGAGGCUCGAAAGCGUGGGUAGCAAACAGGAUUAGAUACCCCGGUAGUC
rnacentral:rRNA from 1 species